UACGUAGGGGGCUAGCGUUGUCCGGAUUUAUUGGGCGUAAAGAGCGUGUAGGCGGCCAUGUAGGUCCGGUGUGAAAACUCGAGGCUUAACCUCGAGAUGUCAUCGGAAACCAUUUGGCUAGAGUCCGGAAGAGGAGAGUGGAAUUCCUGGUGUAGCGGUGAAAUGCGCAGAUAUCAGGAGGAACACCGGUGGCGAAGGCGGCUUGCUGGGCCUUACCUGACGCUGAGGAGCGAAAGCGUGGGGAGCGAACAGG
rnacentral:rRNA from 1 species